GCUGCAAUACUAUAAUAUGAAUCCGAUCGAUCGCCGCCCGUUAUUUUCUUCUAUCAGGAGUCAAGUGAUGCUGUGCCCAUGGAACAGAAGCAAGUGGUUCAGAGAAUGCUGCUUUGUGUGCGAGAUGCAGUGCCUUCGGUUUUGGUGAUGAAGCAUCUGAUUGCUUACAUGUUGAAAAUAAGCGGCUGACGCUAUACAUGGCCUUAUCAUCGCCAGCUUGGUUGCCUGCCUGGUGCCAGCAACAAUUACUCUUUCCCUUUUCUGUCCUGUCAAUUUCUACAAAUAAAACAUAUUUUAGACGUCGUCCCCAGUAUU
rnacentral:lncRNA from 1 species